GAUGAACGCUAGCGGCAGGCCUAAUACAUGCAAGUCGGACGGGAUUCAGGAGCUUGCUUCUGAUGAGAGUGGCGCACGGGUGCGUAACACGUAUGUAACCUACCUUUAUCAGGGGGAUAGCCUCUCGAAAGAGAGAUUAAGCCCGCAUAAAAUCACAGCACAGCAUUGUGUAAUGAUCAAAUAUUUAUAGGAUAAAGAUGGGCAUGCGGAACAUUAGCUAGAUGGCGGGGUAACGGCCCACCAUGGCGACGAUGUUUAGGGGAUCUGAGAGGAUGGCCCCCCACACUGGUACUGAGACACGGACCAGACUCCUACGGGAGGCAGCAGUAAGGAAUAUUGGUCAAUGGGCGGAAGCCUGAACCAGCCAUGCCGCGUGCAGGAAGACGGCCCUACGGGUUGUAACCUGCUUUUAUACGGGAAUAAACCCAGAUACGUGUAUCUGGCUGAAUGUACUGUAAGAAUAAGGAUCGGCUAACUCCGUG
rnacentral:rRNA from 1 species